AACGAACGCUGGCGGCAGGCCUAACACAUGCAAGUCGAGCGAAGCCUUCGGGCUUAGCGGCGGACGGGUGAGUAACGCGUGGGAACGUGCCCUUUGGUACGGAAUAGCCCCGGGAAACUGGGAGUAAUACCGUAUGUGGUCGAGAGACGAAAGAUUUAACGCCAAAGGAUCGGCCCGCGUUGGAUUAGGUAGUUGGUGGGGUAAUGGCCUACCAAGCCGACGAUCCAUAGCUGGUUUGAGAGGAUGAUCAGCCACACUGGGACUGAGACACGGCCCAGACUCCUACGGGAGGCAGCAGUGGGGAAUCUUAGACAAUGGGGAAACCUUGAUCUAGCCAUGCCGCGUGAUCGAUGAAGGCCUUAGGGUUGUAAAGAUCUUUCAGUGGGGAAGAUAAUGACUGUACCCACAAAAGAAGCCCCGGCUAACUCCGUGCCAGCCGCCGCAGUAAAAC
rnacentral:rRNA from 1 species